rnacentral:rRNA from 1 species
AGUCGAACGGUAGCACAGAGAGCUUGCUCCCGGGUGACGAGCGGCGGACGGGUGAGUAAUGUCUGGGAAACUGCCUGAUGGAGGGGGAUAACCACUGGAAACGGUAGCUAAUACCGCAUAACGUCGCAAGACCAAAGAGGGGGACCUUCGGGCCUCUUGCCAUCAGAUGUGCCCAGAUGGGAUUAGCUAGUAGGUGGGGUAACGGCUCACCUAGGCGACGAUCCCUAGCUGGUCUGAGAGGAUGACCAGCCACACUGGAACUGAGACACGGUCCAGACUCCUACGGGAGGCAGCAGUGGGGAAUAUUGCACAAUGGGCGCAAGCCUGAUGCAGCCAUGCCGCGUGUGUGAAGAAGGCCUUCGGGUUGUAAAGCACUUUCAGCGAGGAGGAAGGUGGUGAACUUAAUACGUUCAUCAAUUGACGUUACUCGCAGAAGAAGCACCGGCUAACUCCGUGCCAGCAGCCGCGGUAAUACGGAGGGUGCAAGCGUUAAUCGGAAUUACUGGGCGUAAAGCGCACGCAGGCGGUUUGUUAAGUCAGAUGUGAAAUCCCCGGGCUCAACCUGGGAACUGCAUUUGAAACUGGCAAGCUAGAGUCUCGUAGAGGGGGGUAGAAUUCCAGGUGUAGCGGUGAAAUGCGUAGAGAUCUGGAGGAAUACCGGUGGCGAAGGCGGCCCCCUGGACGAAGACUGACGCUCAGGUGCGAAAGCGUGGGGAGCAAA